rnacentral:tRNA from 1 species
GAGCCGAUUCUCCGGCGAGGAUCGCCGUCUGCAACACGGUGCGUGAGGGUUCGACUCCCUCUCGGCUCUCCA